rnacentral:rRNA from 1 species
UACGGGGGGAGCAAGCGUUGUUCGGAUUUACUGGGCGUAAAGGGCGCGUAGGCGGCCACCGCAAGUCGACUGUGAAAUCUCCGGGCUUAACCCGGAAAGGUCAGCCGAUACUGCGGGGCUAGAGUGCAGAAGGGGCAACUGGAAUUCUCGGUGUAGCGGUGAGAUGCGUAGAUAUCGAGAGGAACACCUGCGGCGAAGGCGGGUUGCUGGGCUGACACUGACGCUGAGGCGCGAAAGCUAGGGGGAGCGAACGGG